GAUGAAGAACGCAGCGAAAUGCGAUAAGUAGUGUGAAUUGCAGAAUUCCGUGAAUCAUCGAAUCUUGGAACGCACAUUGCGCCUUCUGGUAUUCCGGAAGGCAUGCCUGUUCGAGAGUCAUUAACAACCGUUUCGAUCCCUUUCUUUCAGAAAUUACAAAGAGGAAAAGGGUUUGGUUAUGGUGGAGGAGGGAAAGGGAGCGUUUAGCCUGUAAAAAAAGAGGCUGUGUUCCGCCUCCCCCCCAAAAUUGUACAGGCGGUCGUGUGCGCCCACGCAGCGAGGUGUUGUAAAAGCUGCCACGGCACUUUUCACCUGUGCAGUGCGAGAUUGGCCAGCCGGUUUAAAAACCCCUCCAAACAAUCAAAGGUUGACCUCGGAUCAGGUAGGGAUACCCGCUGAACUUAAGCAUAUCAAUAAGCGGAGGA
rnacentral:misc_RNA from 1 species